UACGAAGGGGGCUAGCGUUGUUCGGAUUUACUGGGCGUAAAGCGCACGUAGGCGGAUCGUUAAGUCGGGGGUGAAAUCCUGGAGCUCAACUCCAGAACUGCCUUCGAUACUGGCGAUCUUGAGUCCGGAAGAGGUGAGUGGAACUCCUAGUGUAGAGGUGGAAUUCGUAGAUAUUAGGAAGAACACCAGUGGCGAAGGCGCUCACUGGUCCGGUACUGACGCUGAGGUGCGAAAGCGUGGGGAGCAAACAGG
rnacentral:rRNA from 1 species